GACGAACGCUGGCGGCGUGCCUAAUACAUGCAAGUUGAGCGCUGAAGGUUGGUACUUGUCCCAACUGGAUGGGCAGCGAACGGGUGAGUAACGCGUGGGGAAUCUGCCUUUGAGCGGGGGACAACAUUUGGAAACGAAUGCUAAUACCGCAUAAAAACUUUAAACACAAGUUUUAAGUUUGAAAGAUGCAAUUGCAUCACUCAAAGAUGAUCCCGCGUUGUAUUAGCUAGUUGGUGAGGUAAAGGCUCACCAAGGCGAUGAUACAUAGCCGACCUGAGAGGGUGAUCGGCCACAUUGGGACUGAGACACGGCCCAAACUCCUACGGGAGGCAGCAGUAGGGAAUCUUCGGCAAUGGACGAAAGUCUGACCGAGCAACGCCGCGUGAGGGAAGAAGGUUUUCGGAUCGUAAAACUCUGUUGGUAGAGAAGAACGUUGGUGAGAGUGGAAAGCUCAUCAAGUGACGGUAACUACCCAGAAAGGGACGGCUAACUACGUG
rnacentral:rRNA from 1 species